GAUGUUUCACCAAACACUGACUCUUCCAGGUCACCCUCAGUGUCCCCGCUGGCAUCGGAUGGCUCUGGGGGUCGGCUGGGCUGGGAACAUCGUCCUGCUGGGAGCUGUGGUGGUGAUGUGCGUGUGGGGAAAUUUUAAGGGCCUGGGGAAUGACGGUGCCAAGGAGAGAACCGGCUACGGCUAUAAUUGCAGCACUGAGCUGAAGGAUUUUCCGUUCUGCUUCAAACAGUUUCUAUGUGAACCUCCAGCCAGCAACUCAAGUGGUAAUUUCUGCUCCUUUGCUCUCAGCUGUUUCCCCAUAUUUCAGUGACACCUAGUGGUCCCUUGGGGUAACUCUCAGUGUGUACAGUACAAAAUGCACUAAGGAUCCUACUUGUGUAAAAAGAACGAGGAGUCCAGUGGCACCUUAAAGACUAACAGAUUUAUUUGGGCAUAAGCUUUUGUCCCAAAGGGCUUUACAAACUAAUUAUAGCGUGAAGCUGGUAGGGAACCUAAAUACAGGCAUCACUUACACUUUCCAGUGGAAAAAUUUCUUCUGACCUUUUAAAGAAGCGUUUGCACCUUAUAGUCGCAGCAGACCUUUGAAAAUUCAGCACGGGGAGAGUCCUCAGGCUGGAGAAGUGCCUUUUCUUUGUUUCAAGAAAUUUCACUUCGGCUCUGCUGAGCUGUGAACUUGGGAACAACCACCAUUUCUGCGCUGAGGGGCAAGACUCUACUGUGAUUUUAUGGACAAGCUGACUGGGUUUAUCCCCUCCCAAUUCUAUCACAUUGUCUGUGUAGCUACAUUCUUUUCCUGGUCCUUCGGUUUCUUUAUGUUUGUGCAAUAAAAGUCAAUGUUUCGAGAAUUAAAUACUCAAACUUUGCUAUAGCAGAGCCCGCGUUCUGCUGUAAUUUCCUUUGUUACAACUAAUGGCUUGAUCCAGCAAACACUCACUACUACAUACAGGGUUUUCUACUCUGAGUAGCACCACUGACUUCAGACCCUACCCUUGAAAUGAAA